UACAGAGAGUGCGAACGUUGUUCGGAAUUACUGGGCUUAAAGCGCACGUAGGCGGCAUCGUAAGUGUCUGGUGAAAUCCCACGGCUCACCCGUGGAACUGCCAGGCAUACUGUGAUGCUCGAGUGUGGUAGGGGAGAGCGGAACUCCUGGUGGAGCGGUGAAAUGCGUAGAUAUCAGGAGGAACACCGGUGGCGAAGGCGGCUCUCUGGUCCACAACUGACGCUGAGGUGCGAAAGCUAGGGGAGCAAACGGG
rnacentral:rRNA from 1 species